UCUUUGGAGAGUUACGAAAACUAGAGUAGCUUAUUGAAAUAUUUUCAAUAGCCAAAUAGAACUCAUUGAAAAAGAAA
rnacentral:ncRNA from 1 species